GCAAGGGGAGCGGCAGACGGGAGAGUAACACGUGGGAACGUACCCUUCAGUUCGGAACAACCCAGGGAAACUUGGGCUAAUACCGAAUACGUCCGUAAGGAGAAAGAUUUAUCGCUGAAGGAUCGGCCCGCGUCUGAUUAGCUUGUUGGUGAGGUAACGGCUCACCAAGGCGACGAUCAGUAGCUGGUCUGAGAGGAUGAUCAGCCUCACUGGGACUGAGACACGGCCCAGACUCCUACGGGAGGCAGCAGUGGGGAAUAUUGGACAAUGGGGGCAACCCUGAUCCAGCGACGCCGCGUGUGUGAAGAAGGCCUGCGGG
rnacentral:rRNA from 1 species